rnacentral:misc_RNA from 2 species
CGUCGCGCCGCGCCCCCUCCCCGCUCGGGGACGGGGGUCGCGGCGCGGAUACUGGUCUCCCGUGCGUCCCUGCGCGCGGAUGGCUCAAAUGGGAUCCCUCGGUGCCGCACGUCACGGCCAUUUGUGGUUGAUCACUCGGCUCGUGUGCCGCCGUGCUCCCGUGCGCCGCCCUCGAGGGCAUCGGAAUGACCCUAUGGCGCAUGGCGCCAGCAUCC